CGACCACUUCGUUUUAUAUGUCUUUUAUUCGUGUUUCUAGGUCACAAAAUAAGCUUUUAAGAUAUUUUCAGGCGAGAAUGUAGGUGGGACCGUCUCGUUGCAGAGAAACAAGCACAGGGCUCUCACUGAUUGAGCGUUAUGACAAAAAUGACUCCAAGAUUCCUCACAGUGUUCCUGAAGGCCAAGGUAAUGCCAUCCCAAUUCCUGUCAGUGGAGGAACUCUUAUUCCCCUGAUAUCGCCCCACAGAAUGCUUGCUUGUAGCUGAGCACUGAGCCUCAUCAAUGGAGCCAUUGUCAACUGGCAGCCUGUGCACAUGCUGUAAAACCUGAAGUGCCAAAAGAUGGAUGCAUCGGAGAGCAAGUGGGGGUUAAUAUCUUGCCCAAGGAUAUUUCGUAUGCAGACUGGGGGAGCGAAGAAUCAAACCACCGUCCUUCCGAUCAGCAGAUGACCUGCUCUACCUCCUGACCUACAGCCACCCCACUAG
ensembl:lncRNA